rnacentral:rRNA from 1 species
GAGUGCGUAAUAGCUCACUGGUCGAGAGACGCUGCGCCGAAAAUGUCCGGGGCUCAAGCACGGAACCGAAGCUAUGGCAUUGCGUAAGCAAUGGGUAGGGGAGCGUUCUUAUGGGGAAGAAGCAUUACCGUAAGGAGAUGUGGACACAUAAGAAGUGAGAAUGCCGGUAUGAGUAUCGAAAAGAAAGGUGAGAAUCCUUUCCACCGAAAGCCCGAGGGUUCCUGAGCAACGAUCGUCGUCUCAGGGUAAGUCGGGACCUAAGCCGAGGCACAGACGCAUAGGCGAUGGACAACAGGUUGAAAUUCCUGUACCGGAUGGAGUCAUUUGAGCAAUGGAGUGACGCAGGAGGGCACAUGAUCGCGCGACUGGAAGAGCGCGUCCAAGUGCGUAUGUUGAAUCGGAGGCAAAUCCCCGAUUCUGAAAGCAGAGACAUGAUGGGGAGUUAUAAGCGAUUAUGACGAACUCAUGGAUCCCACACUGCCAAGAAAAACUUCUAGCGAGACGAAAUCCGCCCGUACCGUAAACCGACACAGGUAGGCGGGGAGAGAAUCCUAAGGUGCGCGGGAAAACCCUCGUUAAGGAACUCGGCAAAUUGCAUCCGUAACUUCGGGAGAAGGAUGGCCCUGAGUAGGCGAAGUGCAGAAACGCACGGAACAGAAAAGGGUGGCAGAAAAGAGGCCCAAGCAACUGUUUACCAAAAACACAGGUGCCUGCGAAAGCGAAAGCUGAAGUAUAGGUGCUGACGCCUGCCCGGUGCUGGAAGGUUAAGGAGAGAGGUUAGCGCAAGCGAAGCUUUGAACUGAAGCCCCAGUGAACGGCGGCCGUAACUAUAACGGUCCUAAGGUAGCGAAAUUCCUUGUCGGGUAAGUUCCGACCCGCAUGAAAGGCGUAAUGAUUUGGGCGCUGUCUCAACGAGGGGCCCGGUGAAAUUGAAAUACCUGUGAAGAUGCAGGUUACCCGCGACUGGACAGAAAGACCCCAUGGAGCUUUACUGCAGCUUGAGAUUGAAUCCCGGUGGCAGACGCACAGGAUAGGUGGGAGGCUUUGAGAUAGUGACUUUGGUUGCUAUGGAGCCGACGUUGGGAUACCACCCUUCUGUUGCUGGGAUUCUAACGCGAAGAUUAACAACCUUGCGGACCAUCUCAGGUAGGCGGUUUGACUGGGGCGGUCGCCUCCGAAAGAGUAACGGAGGCGCCCAAAGGUUCCCUCAGGCCGGACAGAAACCGGCCGAAGAGUGCAAAGGCAGAAGGGAGCUUGACUGCGAGACAGACAAGUCGAGCAGAGACGAAAGUCGGGCUUAGUGAUCCGG